UCUUUUUUAUUUGGGGUUGCGUCGGUAUCAGUGUUUCGAUUAUUACCGUUGCUGAUUGCCCGUAGUGAGCCGUCGCUUCCUCCAUUUCUUUCGGCAUCUCGUCCCCACAUACGGAGUCUCCCACCUCCUACGGGAGGCAUCGAUCUUACGGGAGGCAGCAGUGGGGAAUAUUGCACAAUGGGGGAAACCCUGAUGCAGCAACGCCGCGUGAGUGAUGACGGCCUUCGGGUUGUAAAACUCUGUCUUUGGGGACGAUAAUGACGGUACCG
rnacentral:rRNA from 1 species